rnacentral:rRNA from 1 species
AUUGAACGCUGGCGGCAUGCCUUACACAUGCAAGUCGAACGGCAGCACGGAGCUUGCUCUGGUGGCGAGUGGCGAACGGGUGAGUAAUAUAUCGGAACGUACCCAAGAGUGGGGGAUAACGUAGCGAAAGUUACGCUAAUACCGCAUACGAUCUAAGGAUGAAAGUGGGGGCUCGCAAGACCUCAUGCUCCUGGAGCGGCCGAUAUCUGAUUAGCUAGUUGGUUAGGUAAAGGCUCACCAAGGCAUCGAUCAGUAGCUGGUCUGAGAGGACGAGCAGCCACACUGGAACUGAGACACGGUCCAGACUCCUACGGGAGGCAGCAGUGGGGAAUUUUGGACAAUGGGGGCAACCCUGAUCCAGCAAUGCCGCGUGAGUGAAGAAGGCCUUCGGGUUGUAAAGCACUUUUGUCAGGGAAGAAACGGUGAAGGCUAAUAUCCUUUGCUAAUGACGGUACCUGAAGAAUAAGCACCGGCUAACUACGUGCCAGCCGCCGCGGUAA